GACAGGGGAUGCAAGCGUUAUCCGGAAUGAUUGGGCGUAAAGCGUCUGUAGGUGGCUUUUUAAGUCUGCCGUCAAAUCCCAGGGCUCAACCCUGGCCAGGCGGUGGAGACUACUAAGCUGGAGUACGGUAGGGGCAGAGGGAAUUUCCGGUGGAGCGGUGAAAUGCGUAGAUAUCUGGAGGAACACCGGUGGCGAAGGCGGCUACCUGGCCCAACAUUGACACUGAGACCCGAAAGCGUGGGGAUCAAACAGG
rnacentral:rRNA from 1 species